rnacentral:rRNA from 1 species
UACGUAGGGUGCGAGCGUUAAUCGGAAUUACUGGGCGUAAAGCGUGCGCAGGCGGUUCGUUGUGUCGGCGGUGAAAGCCCCGGGCUUAACCUGGGAAUGGCCGUUGAAACUGGCGAACUGGAGUGUGGCAGAGGGGGGUGGAAUUCCGCGUGUAGCAGUGAAAUGCGUAGAGAUGCGGAGGAACACCGAUGGCGAAGGCAGCCCCCCUGGGGCUAACACUGACGCUCAGGCACGAAAGCGUGGGGGAGCAAACAGGG